UACGUAGGGGGCUAGCGUUGUCCGGAUUUAUUGGGCGUAAAGAGCGUGUAGGCGGCCAUGUAGGUCUGCUGUGAAAACUCGAGGCUCAACCUCGAGACGUCGGCGGAAACCAUCUGGCUAGAGUCCGGAAGAGGAGAGUGGAAUUCCUGGUGUAGCGGUGAAAUGCGCAGAUAUCAGGAGGAAUACCGGUGGCGAAGGCGGCAUCCUGGACCGGCAUUGACGCUGAGGAGCGAAAGCCAGGGGAGCAAACGGG
rnacentral:rRNA from 1 species